GCAUAGCGAAAUGGAUAAAAGGGGAGUCCCCUCCCCAGAAAGUUCAAGUUUAUUUUUCAAUACCAAAACCCUUGUAAAACCCUAUUCUAUUGGAUCUCAGAUCAUCAAUUGGCGCCGUCUGUGGGAAACGAAGGAGAUCUUUUCAUCACCGGAGUUUUCACUUUCAAAACCCACUGAGAUCCACGAUGGCAAACCACCAAGAAAGUAACCUUAACAUUCCAAAUGACCUGAGCUCUGCCCAAGAUGGGCAGCAGUUCUCCUUUUCUAGCCCUACAACGUUGAAUAACCAAACGCCUAUCCCUCUUAACCCCUCGCCAAGCUUGGCAGGGA
rnacentral:lncRNA from 1 species